rnacentral:lncRNA from 1 species
UUUCUUCCUUGAAAUGUAUAUUUUCCGCUACACUGUACAAUGAGACAUACAUCUAGCUAUUAGCAAUUUAGAGUGGUUACAGUUCUGCUAUACGGUGGUUGGUGGUAGCUUGUCUGCCACCAUUGCUGUGAUCUUCCAAACAGCAAUUUAGAGGCAAGAAUUUUUGUAGCGUCUGCCUGGAAUAAUCCAUAUUGUUAGAAGGGGACCCGUAUUUUAGUCAGAACAAACUACGGUCACAUACGAAAGCGGAAGAAAUCAAGACAAUGCCGACCCAUUCAAAUCAUACCAUAUAACGUUUAAUAAAAAGUGAAAAACAUUCCCGUACCAUUACAGUUUGCAGAUAUUGUGUUUCCCAAGUGCAUGCUACUCCGGCCACAUCCCUAUCCCGAGUUUUAGUUCAACCUGCAGAAUUUUAAGCAAAAUGGCGACAGGGUAAUGGAUGGAGGACGAAAACGAGCAGUAAUCAAAUGUAAUGGCAAACUUACCGAUUACUAUCAAUUUCUGCACUGGAAAGAUGGGAUUUCAGGAGAAGUCCAGGCAGGCCCAAUGCUGUGGAACAGAGUGGUAAGGAAACUUUUGUUAUUGCAUUCCUGUCCUCUGAUGCCCAAUGCCUGACAUAUCUGCAAGUCAAAAUGUGAAACUGACCCCUUGUGUAAUCAUGGGGUCCUUUCUUAGACCCAAUAGUUCUUUCACCAUGCAGUUAUAGUAAUGUAGAAUAUUACAUUUUAAAGUGGACAAGUGGAUUAACACAGACUAAAGGAUGAGCCCCAGAUAUUUAAAUCUAGGAGCAUUUCACCAAACCAUGGCCUUUGCUAAGAGGGUUGUCAGCUGCAAUGCAGUGAUGAGAGUUGACCAGCAUGGGUGAGCACCUCCUAUAUACAUGUAUUUGAAAAGGAAACAUGUUGGCUCUCCGGUAGGAGACUUUGCUAACUUUAAUUCAAGACUAAAUUAUGAUUAGCAUGAUUAGCAACGCAAUUUUGAAAGAUGGGAAUUUCCAAUCAAAUUAUGAGAUUCAACUUUAGUUAGUUUCAUAUCAACAUCUUGUUAGCCAAU